rnacentral:piRNA from 1 species
UAAUCGUUGGCCAUUUUACGCGAUCGCUA